rnacentral:tRNA from 2 species
GGGCCGGUAGCUCAGUUGGUCAGAGCGGACGACUCAUAAUCGUCUGGUCGCGGGUUCAAGUCCUGCCCGGCCCACCA